UGAACUGCUUCUACAUGUGAUGGAGACAGUUUGUCCUGGAACAACAGACUGAGAUCCAGGAGACUGAGUCAGGAUGAUUUCUGAUGAUGAACCUGAAAAGAUGAAAAAGAGGAGAAGGAUUACUGAGACAAAUCCAGCUUGGAGAAAGAUGAUCAGCAUCCAAACACAAGAGGAUCAUUGGUUGAACAUGGACAACAGAUGGAAGAAGGUGAUGUCCGUCCCUCCCUGACGGUGCUGCCCCCCUCCACAGAGGAGCUGCAGCAGGGGAAGGCCACGCUCAUGUGUCUGGCCAACAAGGGCUUCCCCUCAGACUGGAGUCUGUCCUGGAAGGUGGAUGGCGGCAUCAUCAGUAGCAGCUGGGAGGAGAGCAGGAGCCCCGGGGUGCUGCAGGAGGACGGCCUCUACAGCUGGAGCAGCACCCUGAGGCUCCCUGCAGACCAGUGGGGGAAGGUGGGCUCUGUGAGCUGUGAGGCCACCCAGGGCUCCCAGACUCCACUCUCAGAGUCACUGAGGAGAGACCAGUGUUCCCAGUCCUGACCUCACCCACUGGGAACAUCACACUGGUUCCACUCUGC